ACAACAAGAUUCGGACCGUCGGUCUACCGAGCAAUAUCACCCGCUCGGUGGAAGAUCUUCCCUUUGUCGUAUCCC
rnacentral:pre_miRNA from 1 species